AUUCCAGCUCCAAUAGCGUAUAUUAAAGUUGUUGCAGUUAAAAAGCUCGUAGUUGAAUUUCUGGCGCCACCGGCGGUCCUUCCUCAGUGUUGCGACUUGUGUGUGUGAUGCCAUUUUUGUCGGGUGCGGUGGGGCGCUUGAUUGUGUCCUGCCGUGUUUAAGCCCGGCAUCGUUUACUGUGAACAAAUUAGAGUGUUUAAAGCGGGCUGUUAGCUUGAAUACAUUAGCAUGGAAUAAUGAUAUAGGACUUUGGGACUAUAUUCGUUGGUUGAGUACCGAAGUAAUGAUUAGUAGGGAUAGUUGGGGGUAUUCAUAUUUGAUUGUCAGAGGUGAAAUUCUUGGAUUUAUUAAAGAUGAACAACUGCGAAAGCAUUUACCAAGGAUGUUUUCAUUA
rnacentral:rRNA from 1 species